rnacentral:rRNA from 1 species
GACGAACGCUGGCGGCGUGCUUAACACAUGCAAGUCGAACGGAAAGGCCCUUGCUUGCUGGGGUACUCGAGUGGCGAACGGGUGAGUAACACGUGGGUGACCUGCCCUGCACUUCGGGAUAAGCUCGGGAAACUGGGUCUAAUACCGGAUAGGACGUUGGUCUGGAUGCCAUUGUGGGAAGUUUUUCGGUGUGGGAUGAGCUCGCGGCCUAUCAGCUUGUUGGUGGGGUAAUGGCGUACCAAGGCGUCGACGGGUAGCCGGCCUGAGAGGGUGUACGGCCACAUUGGGACUGAGAUACGGCCCAGACUCCUACGGGAGGCAGCAGUGGGGAAUAUUGCACAAUGGGCGGAAGCCUGAUGCAGCGACGCCGCGUGGGGGAUGACGGCCUUCGGGUUGUAAACUCCUUUCGCUAGUGACGAAGCGCAAGUGACGGUACCUGGAGAAGAAGCACCGGCUAACUACGUG